ensembl:lncRNA
AUGCUCGGAGAUGAACACCAGUGUCUUUUUCAACCCAGCGGACGCGUCCUCCCCGCGCGCCGGGGCAGGGGAGAAGGCGCUCCAGCCGUUGGUGGAGAGACGGGAGACCCGGAGAGGCCGCUCGCCAGGCUCGCCCCGGCCGGCCCCCAGCGCAGUUACCCGUCCCGGGCGGGAGCUGCCUCCGCCGCCUGCUGCUCCUCGGCCGCCGCCGCCUCCGCUCGCAGCGCCGCCCGUUCCCGCCUCCUUCUUGGCGCCCGCCGGCCCCGCACGCCGCUGCCCCGGGCGCAGGAGGGCGUGUGGACCGCCGCGAAGAGAGCCGGGCAAGUCCACGAGCGCCGCGGGCCCGCUGGGAGCCGAGCGUCCGCGGGGUCGGCGCUGGGGGCGCCCAGGCCGGCCCGGCGCGACUGUCCCCGCGCCCGCCGCCGCAGUUGCCUCCGCGCGUAUCCGCGCUCGGCUCAGGCACCGGGCGAUUAUACUGGGGCGCGCGGUGACGUCACCCGGACACCGGCUCCGCCGCCGCCUCCCCGAGGUGUCCUUGAGAACUGCGGGGCACGCGCGCCGCGCACACGCGCACACACGCACUGCGCGCCCGGUGCCUCCCGCGCACACUCCCCGCGUCCCGCCCCGCGCGCUCCUCCGCUCACACGGACGCCGCCCUCGAGCGCCCUCGACCGUGCCCGGCACCCUGCGGCCACACGUCUGCCCACGGAAACGCCUCCCCCCCGCCCGCACUCCAACGCUCCUCCCACAGCCCACCAGCCGCAGCGCCUCUGGGCGCGCACCGACACCCGCGAGAGCCAGGCCUUCCCGGCCCACACCCUGGCCCACACCCUGGCCGCACCGAAGACACACCUCUGCCCUCAGGCUUUCGCUGCAGGGCCAAGGAUCCAGGCUUUCCUAAGCGACACCACCUCAGGCCUCCCCCAUGGGCCUUUGUUCCUGAGCAGACGGAGAGGGAGCCGCAGGCCCAGGCCGGGCCAGCAGGCCUCUGCCCCCCUCCCCUUCCCUCAGGCCAACCAGGCCCCUGUGCCAUCUGCCCUCAGAGCGGAGCCCACCGACCCUCCCACCUUGGGUGCACUGCCCUGCUUCCUUCCUUUCGGGCCCUCUCCAGCACUAAGGGAGCUACGGAGAGCCCACGGGGAAGGGGGUUGGGACCCCCAGCCCCCACCCCCUCCUCAGCCCACUGGAGCUCCCCUCACCCUUCGGUGCCGCUUCAGCCUCACCCUUGGAGCCGCGGUUCCUCGUCCUCUGCGGUGUCAAGAUGGCCCCGCUCUCUCGCCUGAGACAUGCAACGUCCCCCCCUCCCCCCCAACAUACCUACCCCCUGCCCGACGUUCAGGAAGGCACCCAAAGCCCGUGGGGCUGGCAGCCAUCGCGGGACACAAGCUGGACACUCUCUCUGGCGGGGUGGAGGGCAGGGGACACUGGGCAGCUGGCACUCAGCUCUGUCAGAGACUGUUGCUCUCGGCCUCUGUCAGCCUCUGUCCACCAGGUGGAGGAUACCCCUCCUCACCCCAACGUGGGGAGACUUGCAGCUGCAGGGGGUCCGCUGUCCAUGGUGUUGAAACCCGACUCUGA